UGAGGAAUAUUGGUCAAUGGGCGAGAGCCUGAACCAGCCAAGUAGCGUGCAGGAUGACGGCCCUAUGGGUUGUAAACUGCUUUUAUGUGGGGAUAAAGUGCGUGACGUGUCAUGCAUUGCAGGUACCACAUGAAUAAGGACCGGCUAAUUCCGUGCCAGCAGCCGCGGUAAUACGGAAGGUCCGGGCGUUAUCCGGAUUUAUUGGGUUUAAAGGGAGCGUAGGCUGUCUAUUAAGCGUGUUGUGAAAUUUACCGGCUCAACCGGUGGCUUGCAGCGCGAACUGGUCGACUUGAGUAUGCAGGAAGUAGGCGGAAUUCAUGGUGUAGCGGUGUAAUGCUUAGAUAUCAUGACGAACUCCGAUUGCGCAGGCAGCUUACUGUAGCAUAACUGACGCUGAUGCUCGAAAGUGCGGGUAUCAAACAGG
rnacentral:rRNA from 1 species